AGAGGCGGAGACAGAGGCAACUUUGGACCAGGGAAAAUGGAUUCCAGAGGAGACCACAGACAAGACCGCCGCGAGAGGCCCUAUUGAGCCUGUAUAGAAUCCCCGACCAUGUGAAUUUAUAAAACUUUUUAUUUGAUACGAUGUCAGGCUAUGUUGCAAGUUUGUGUACUCCGUGUUCCGUUUGUGUAUAAACCUCGUAUUCCCUCCUUUAAUUUUUGUGUGUAUUUGAAAUCCCAUACAUUUACAAGUGAAAAUGUUUUAGUCAUGUGCAGAACUUCUCAACAGGGUGGGGAGGGAUAGGCAGUUUCAGUAAUAAAAACAUUUUCAUUCAAUAUUAAAAA